rnacentral:rRNA from 1 species
AGCAGCCGCGGUAAUUCCAGCUCCAAUAGCGUAUAUUAAAGUUGUUGCAGUUAAAAAGCUCGUAGUUGAAUUUCGGGGUCAGCAGGUUGGUCGUGCCAAUGGUAUGAACUGGCCUUGCUGAUUCCUCCCUCUUGAUGAGCCGUAAUGCCAUUAAUUUGGUGUUGCGGGGAAUCAGGACUGUUACUUUGAAAAAAUUAGAGUGUUUAAAGCAGGCAAGCGCUUGAAUACAUUAGCAUGGAAUAAUGAAAUAGGACGUUCGAUCCUAUUUUGUUGGUUUCUAGGAUUGACGUAAUGAUUAAUAGGGAUAGUUGGGGGCAUUAGUAUUCAAUUGUCAGAGGUGAAAUUCUUGGAUUUAUUGAAGACUAACUACUGCGAAAGCAUUUGCCAAGGAUGUUUUCAUUAAUCAAGAACGAAAGUUAGGGGAUCGAAGACGAUCAGAUACCGUCGUAGUCUUAACCAUAAACUAUGCCGACUAGGGAUCGGAUGAUGUUAAUUUUUUAAUGACUCU